UUUUUCACAAUAGCUCGUGUGUGUUCGUAUAUAGCAUGUAAUGUAAUUCAAUAACAGGUUUGAGAACGAACCUGUUAUUAAUGUUACAAUAAAACGAGAUAACAAAACGUACAUGAGUUCUUCACGAAUAUAUUAGUUAGUAUUUAUGUGAAAUUACUGAAAUCCCAAGUCACUACAACGAUUUUCUCUAUAUACGUCAAAAGUGAAGUGUCCCUUUUUCAAAUCUGAACAUUUUGUGAAGAAUGAUUGGUAAUUGUAAUUUAUGAAAAUGAAAGUGUUUUUAUUCAUUUUAUUUUGCACUAUUAACGAUGCCCGCGUUAGUAAAAACAUCAUGAAACGCAGCGUUGAUAGUUUAAUUGGUUCAACAAACUUUGGAGCUUCCACUACAAAUGGAGAGCAGGGCGUGUCCGAUUGCCUGGCCGCUGGUAAUCUACCCGGGAAAUGUUAUACCGAGCAACAUGGUAUAAAUCCAGAAUGGUGAAAAUAAACUAAUUUGUUAUUGACACUUGA